UACGUAGGUGGCAAGCGUUGUCCGGAUUUACUGGGUGUAAAGGGCGUGUAGGCGGAGAUGCAAGUCAGGAGUGAAAUCUAGGGGCUCAACCCCUAAACUGCUUUUGAAACUGUAUCCCUUGAGUAUCGGAGAGGCAGGCGGAAUUCCUAGUGUAGCGGUGAAAUGCGUAGAUAUUAGGAGGAACACCAGUGGCGAAGGCGGCCUGCUGGACGACAACUGACGCUGAGGCGCGAAAGCGUGGGGAG
rnacentral:rRNA from 1 species